rnacentral:rRNA from 1 species
AGUGAAUGCUGGCGGUAGGCCUAACACAUGCAAGUCGAACGGCAGCACAGUAAGAGCUUGCUCUUACGGGUGGCGAGUGGCGGACGGGUGAGGAAUACAUCGGAAUCUACUUUUUCGUGGGGGAUAACGUAGGGAAACUUACGCUAAUACCGCAUACGACCUACGGGUGAAAGCAGGGGAUCUUCGGACCUUGCGCGAUUGAAUGAGCCGAUGUCGGAUUAGCUAGUUGGCGGGGUAAAGGCCCACCAAGGCGACGAUCCGUAGCUGGUCUGAGAGGAUGAUCAGCCACACUGGAACUGAGACACGGUCCAGACUCCUACGGGAGGCAGCAGUGGGGAAUAUUGGACAAUGGGCGCAAGCCUGAUCCAGCCAUACCGCGUGGGUGAAGAAGGCCUUCGGGUUGUAAAGCCCUUUUGUUGGGAAAGAAAAGCAGCAGGUUAAUACCGCGCUGUUCUGACGGUACCCAAAGAAUAAGCACCGGCUAACUUCGUG